rnacentral:rRNA from 1 species
UACGGGGGGGGCAAGCGUUGUUCGGAAUUACUGGGCGUAAAGGGCUCGUAGGCGGCCAACUAAGUCAGACGUGAAAUCCCUCGGCUUAACCGGGGAACUGCGUCUGAUACUGGAUGGCUCGAGUUUGGGAGAGGGAUGCGGAAUUCCAGGUGUAGCGGUGAAAUGCGUAGAUAUCGGAAGGAACGCCGGUGGCGAAAGCGGCGUGCUGGAUCUUCACUGACGCUGAUGCGCGAAAGCCAGGGGAGCAAACGGG